GAUGAACGCUAGCGGCAGGCCUAAUACAUGCAAGUCGAGGGGUAGAAGAGGCUUGCUCCUUUGAGACCGGCGCACGGGUGCGUAACGCGUAUGCAACCUACCUUCAUCUGGGGGAUAGCCCGGAGAAAUCCGGAUUAAUACCGCAUAAAAUCACAGGAUGGCAUUAUCCAAUGAUCAAACAUUUAUGGGAUGGAGAUGGGCAUGCGUGUCAUUAGCUAGUUGGCGGGGUAACGGCCCACCAAGGCGACGAUGACUAGGGGAUCUGAGAGGAUGGCCCCCCACACUGGUACUGAGACACGGACCAGACUCCUACGGGAGGCAGCAGUAAGGAAUAUUGGUCAAUGGAGGCAACUCUGAACCAGCCAUGCCGCGUGCAGGAAGACUGCCCUAUGGGUUGUAAACUGCUUUUAUUCGGGAAUAAACCUUAUUACGUGUAAUAAGCUGAAUGUACCGAAGGAAUAAGGAUCGGCUAACUCCGUGCCAGCAGCCGCAGUAAGAC
rnacentral:rRNA from 1 species